rnacentral:rRNA from 1 species
AGCGUGGGGAGCAAACAGGAUUAGAUACNNNNGUAGUCCACGCCCUAAACGAUGUCGACUGGNNNUUGGGGGUUUGACACUCUCAGUAACGAAGCUAACGCGUGAAGUCGACCGCCUGGGGAGUACGGCCGCAAGGUUAAAACUCAAAGGAAUUGACGGGGACCCGCACAAGCGGUGGAUUAUGUGGAUUAAUUCGAUGCAACGCGAAAAACCUUACCUACCCUUGACAUGUCCGAGAGCCCGCAGAGAUGUGGGUGUGCCCGAAAGGGAAUCGGAACACAGGUGCUGCAUGGCUGUCGUCAGCUCGUGUCGUGAGAUGUUGGGUUAAGUCCCGCAACGAGCGCAACCCUUGUCAUUAGUUGCUACAUUCAGUUGGGCACUCUAAUGAGACUGCCGGUGACAAACCGGAGGAAGGUGGGGAUGACGUCAAGUCCUCAUGGCCCUUAUAGGUGGGGCUACACACGUCAUACAAUGGCUGGUACAGAGGGUUGCCAACCCGCGAGGGGGAGCUAAUCCCAUAAAACCAGUCGUAGUCCGGAUCGCAGUCUGCAACUCGACUGCGUGAAGUCGGAAUCGCUAGUAAUCGCGGAUCAGAAUGUCGCGGUGAAUACGUUCCCGGGUCUUGUACACACCGCCCGUCACACCAUGGGAGCGGGUUCUGCCAGAAGUAGUUAGCCUAACCGCAAGGAGGGCGAUUACCACGGCAGGGUUCGUGACUGGGGUGAAGUCGUAACAAGGUAGCAAUCGAAUCCCGCGGCCG